UGGGGAAUAUUGGACAAUGGGCGCAAGCCUGAUCCAGCCAUGCCGCGUGAGUGAAGAAGGCCUUCGGGUUGUAAAGCUCUUUCAGACGGAAAGAAAUCUCUUGGGCGAAUACCCUGGGAGGAUGACGGUACCGUAAGAAGAAGCACCGGCUAACUACGUGCCAGCAGCCGCGGCAAUACGUAGGGUGCGAGCGUUAAUCGGAAUUACUGGGCGUAAAGCGGGCGCAGGCGGUGAUGUAAGACAGAUGUGAAAUCCCCGGGCUCAACCUGGGAACUGCGUUUGUGACUGCAUCACUCGAGUACGGCAGAGGGAGGUGGAAUUCCGCGUGUAGCAGUGAAAUGCGUAGGUAUGCGGAGGAACACCGAUGGCGAAGGCAGCCUCCUGGGCCAGGAUUGACGCUCAUGCACGAGGGCGUGGGGAGCGAACA
rnacentral:rRNA from 1 species